rnacentral:rRNA from 1 species
UACGAAGGGGGCUAGCGUUGCUCGGAAUUACUGGGCGUAAAGGGAGCGUAGGCGGACAUUUAAGUCGGGGGUGAAAUCCCAGAGCUCAACUCUGGAACUGCCUUUGAUACUGGAUGUCUUGAGUGUGAGAGAGGUAUGUGGAACUCCGAGUGUAGAGGUGAAAUUCGUAGAUAUUCGGAAGAACACCAGUGGCGAAGGCGACAUACUGGCUCAUUACUGACGCUGAGGCUCGAAAGCGUGGGGAGCAAACAGG